rnacentral:rRNA from 1 species
AUGUGUGGUUUUCAAAGCAAAGGGCAGGGGUUCUUCUAUAUUCCUGAUUUCAGCGUGGAUAGACAGCCUGGGGAGAGGAUUUUCAAUGUUGUUGUUACUAUCACCGAGGGGGAUGCGCUAACCAAAGACAUAGAGCACGAGCUUAGUGUUUAUGUGGGUCAGGGAUGGCGUUGUUCUGCUAAGUUCUUUGCUCCGAACAUGUUUGUGAUGAGGAUGCCUAACCCCAGAGAAGUUGAUCGUGCUCUUUUCGUUGAACAUGUUAAACUGAAAAGGUGUGGUGUGGCUGUUAAAUUUUCCCCCUGGUCUAAGGAUAUAGACUCUGAAGGGCUCCUAGAAGUUGCUUGGGUGAGGAUUGGGAGAAUCCCUCCUAAUAAACGCUGUGAUAAAACUGUAGCUUAUGUGGGGGGGCUUGUGGGUAUAACCCUGGAAGUUGAUAUGUCUACUUUGAAUCACCCGUCUUCUGUGAGAGCUAAAAUAGGAUGUCGAUCUGUGAAACAACUACCCAACACAGCUGAAGGGGUGCUGGGAGGGCGUUUCUAUAAAUUUACUUUUGAGGUGGAAGAAAUCCUGGUGGUUAAUGCUGUUGACGAAGAGGUUGUGCGUGUUGAUGCCAAAGACAACCCCUUUAAGCCUGAUCAGACUCCUAAGCACAAGCGCGCUAAUCAGGGGUGGAUGAAGAACAUUAUAAUUUGA